rnacentral:snoRNA from 1 species
AUGUCUCUUGCCUCGCUCGGUCUUCCGCUCCCCUCGGCUGAUCUUGAGCUGGAUGCAGCUUUUUUUUCUUUUCUGCAUGAGACGAGAGAAACUCGACGAUCUUUGAGUACGAUCCUAUCCGAAUCACCACGGGUAUCAUCGUAAUUUAUAGUCGAUAUAUCA